AUUGAACGCUGGCGGCAUGCCUAACACAUGCAAGUCGAACGGGGUGUAGCAAUACAUCUAGUGGCGGACGGGUGAGGAAUACAUAGGAAUUUGCCCUUAAGUGGGGGAUAGUCCGGGGAAACUCGGUUUAAUACCGCAUGAUCUCGUGAGAGCAAAGCAGGGGACCGCAAGGCCUUGCGCUUUUGGAGAAGCCUAUGUCGGAUUAGCUAGUUGGUAGGGUAAUGGCCUACCAAGGCGACGAUCCGUAACUGGUCUGAGAGGAUGAUCAGUCACACCGGAACUGAGACACGGUCCGGACUCCUACGGGAGGCAGCAGUGGGGAAUAUUGGACAAUGGGCGCAAGCCUGAUCCAGCAAUGCCGCGUGUGUGAAGAAGGCCUCGGUUGUAAG
rnacentral:rRNA from 1 species